GACGAACGCUGGCGGCGUGCUUAACACAUGCAAGUCGAACGGAAAGGCCCUGCUUUUGUGGGGUGCUCGAGUGGCGAACGGGUGAGUAACACGUGAGUAACCUGCCCUUGACUUUGGGAUAACUUCAGGAAACUGGGGCUAAUACCGGAUAGGAGCUCCUGCUGCAUGGUGGGGGUUGGAAAGUUUCGGCGGUUGGGGAUGGACUCGCGGCUUAUCAGCUUGUUGGUGGGGUAGUGGCUUACCCAGGCUUUGACGGGUAGCCGGCCUGAGAGGGUGACCGGCCACAUUGGGACUGAGAUACGGCCCAGACUCCUACGGGAGGCAGCAGGGGGGAAUAUUGCACAAUGGGCGGAAGCCUGAUGCAGCAACGCCGCGUGCGGGAUGACGGCCUUCGGGGUGUAAACCGCUGUCGCCUGUGACGAAGCGUGAGUGACGGUAAUGGGUAAAGAAGCACCGGCUAACUACGUG
rnacentral:rRNA from 1 species